AAUGAUAAUGACAUUAUUUAAAGAAGUAAGUCCCGGCUAAUCUCGUGCCAGCAGCCGCGGUAAAACGGGAGGGGCAAGCGUUAUUCGGAAUAACUGGGCGUAAAGAGUCUGUAGAUUGUAAUAAAAGUUGUUUGUUAAAACUUAAAGCUUAACUUUAAAGCAGCAAAUAAUACGUUUUUACUUCGAGUUUUUUUCAGAAAAGUAAAAUUUUGAAUUUAAGGUUGAAAUCUGUCGAUAUUCAAAGGAAUACCAUUAAAAGCGAAGGCGACUUUUUAGUAAAAACUGACAUUGAGAGACGAAAGUAUAGGUAGCAAAUAGGAUUAGAUACCCUAGUAGUCUAUACUGUAAAUUCUGUGUGCU
rnacentral:rRNA from 15 species